AUGACACAUUCAGAUCAGGAGAUAAAGCAGCCCUCAAAACAGCAAGAGCCAAUCUGUCCUGUGGCAUCAAGAAUGCAAAACACUUUUGAC